rnacentral:rRNA from 1 species
GAGUGUAAAUGCCGCGAAUCUUGAGGGCUUAAAGUUAUUACCGAAACUUCAAACAAAAUAAUGAUAAUAUAUUAUUUUGUGGUAGCAGAACGUUCCGUAGGUCGCAAAAGCUUUAGUGUAAACUAUUGUGAAGGCAUCGGAAGUGAGAAUACUUGCAUGAGUAGCAUAAAACAACGAUAAGCGUUGUGGCCGUAAGUCUAAGGUUUCCGAUCUAAAGUAAAACUGGGUUGGCAGAAGUAGACACUUCUAGAAAAAGCGGUCCCUAAGUAUGCAAGCCAAGGCUUGUGGCGAUGGGAAAGAUUAUACUGUUAUAAGUAACUGACGAAAAAUUCACUUUAUUUUUAAUAAAUUUAAAAGUAAAUUAUUUUUUCCAAGAAAAAGGUUCUUUUUUA